AACUACGGCCAUACCACCCUGAACACGCCCAAUCUCAUCUGAUCUCAGAAGCUAAGCAGGGUCGGGCCUGGUUAGUACUUGGAUGGGAGACCGCCUGGGAAUACCAGGUGCUGUAGGCC
ensembl:rRNA 5S_rRNA 5S ribosomal RNA